GACGAACGCUGGCGGCGUGCUUAACACAUGCAAGUCGAGCGGAGCGGCGAACGGGUGAGUACCGCGUGAGUAACUGCCCCCCUCUCUGGGAUAACAGUUGGAAACGGCUGCUAAUACCGGAUAGUGGGGGAUGACUCGCGUCCUAUCAGCUUGUUGGUGGGGUAGUGGCCUACCAAGGCGACGACGGGUAGCCGGCCUGAGAGGGCGACCGGCAACAGGGGGCAGAGAUACGGCACAAACUCCUACGGGAGGCAGCAGUGGGGAAGAUUGCAUAAUGUGGGAAACCCGGAUGCAGAAACGCCGCUGGCGGGAUGACGGCCUUCGGGUUGUAAACCGCUUUCAGCCAGGACGCGGUAGUGGCAGAAGAAGCACCGGCUAACUACGUGCCAGCCGCCGCGGUAAUUC
rnacentral:rRNA from 1 species